GCCCUCUUAGCUCAGUGGUAGAGCGUGUCACUCGUACGGAAAUUCAACAUGAAAAUCCAUGACAAGGUCAGUCGUUCAAGUCGGCUAGGGGGCA